UUGUCUAUGAACGUGUACGAAACGAGAUGCGUGGCGAAAUGGAUGCUAAAGCUGCAGAAAUGGAAGCUAAACAUCAACAAAUGCGUGAGGAAAUGGAUGCCAAAGCUGCAGCAAUAGAUGCCAAACAACAACAAAUUGAUGCAAAAUAUGAAGCAAUGGAGAAGAUGUAUGCAGCCUUGCAAAAUAUGAUGGGAAAUUGAAAAGUAGAGGUAAUAUGAUGUUAACCAUUAGUAUUUGAUGUUUUUGAAUGACUUGUUAACCUUUUGUAUUUGAUGUUUUUGAUUGUUUUGAAUAAUGUUUUAUAGGAAUGAGAACCGAAGAUGAUUGGAUGGACAUGAAAUGAAGAUAUCAGCUAAAAUGUUAUUUUGAAGGUUAAACUUUUUUCUGUUUGUACCUCUUUUGCAUACUUUGGAUUUCUUGGUUCGAAAAUGUUAUUUUGAAGUUAAACCGUUGGGAGUUUGCUGUUAUGUGGAUAGUUUCGUUUUUGGAUGUUUCUUGAAUGACACUUUGGUAAACUUUGAUAGUUUUGGUAUUGUAAUGCUUGGUUGUAUCAUUAUUUGAUGUUCUUUAGUAUAAUAAUUUGAUGAUUGUAGUAU
rnacentral:lncRNA from 1 species